GUUGCGCUGCGACGUUGGUGACUGCCAAUAAUGUUUUUGAUCUAUGUCUUUUCCAAUAAGGGAACUAAGAGGUCUUGGCAGCAGUAGACCGAGCUUGUACUCGGAAACUUUACGUCAGACCCGCUAGUACCCACCUGGUUUUUCCAGGUCCAAAACUGAGGUAAGACGGCGUUGCGGUCAACUU
rnacentral:other from 1 species